AGCAAGUGCGCGGUGGAGAGAAACCGCCGGAAGCAAAUGAACGACCAUCUCGCCGUCCUUGGUUCUCUCAUGCCUUGCUUCUACGAGGCGGCGAGCAGGCGUCCAUAAUCGGCGGCGGUCGGUGCUUGGGAGCAAGUGCGCGGUGGAGAGAAACCGCCGGAAGCAAAUGAACGACCAUCUCGCCGUCCUUGGUUCUCUCAUGCCUUGCUUCUACGAGAACUGCAGCAAAUCUUGCGAGGCCAAGAAGCAGCGCAUUCGGAAGCAGUGGUUCUAAUUUGAUGCAUAUGAGAUAAAGCGGCCGGAUGAGCGGACUACCGAAGACAAAACAGGGAGUUUUUCGAAUUUUUCUCUUUUAUAUUUAUGCAUUGCAUUUAUUUUAUCAUAUCGCAUAUAGAGUUAGGAUUAUUUUUACGUCCCGGGACUUGCAUGCAUGCAUUAAUUUUGUUUCUUAAUUUUAUACUAACGUGUUUUUUAGUAUUUUUAGUUUGUAGGUACAUCUUUUGGAGAGAGCGGCCGGAUGAGCGCACUACCGAAGACAAAACAGGGAGUUUUUCGUACUCUUCUCUUUUACAUUAAUGCAUUGCAUUUAUUUUCUCAUAUUGCAUAUAGAGUUAGGAUUAUUUUUACGUCCCGGGACUUGCAUGCAUGCAUUAAUUUUCUUUCUUAAUUUUUUACUAACAUAUUUUUUAGUAUUUUUAGUUUGUAGGUACUGCUUUCGGCGAGAGCGGCCGGAUGAGCGGACUACCGAAGA